CAGGCUUCCCAAAAGUUGUUUGAUAGUAUACAGGCAUGAGAUGGUGUGACUCUAACUCAUUAGAUGCCUUCGUCUUUUCAGUCAUCAUGUGAUGGAAAGAAAGCUAUCAACUUCAUUCCUGAGACUUCCUGCAACACAGGAGCAGCAGGACAUCUGGGGAUGAGAAGAUGGAGAGAUCAUCCUUAUAUAAUGUUGCAGUCUGGAAGCAUCACUCUCAAAAAGCCAUUGUAGAGAAUCCAAGCCGAGUUUAAGAGUGCUGUGGAAAUACACUGCUGCUACUGCUGUUUCUAUUACUGUUUGAUGCUGGGACUCUUAUGCUCCAACCACGUUUUCACCCAGCUGAGUCGCCUUCGUAUCACGCCUUUCCAGUUUUGAUAGACUAGAAAAAUGACAAGACUCCAAGUCCUUGAAGAGGAGGAAAAGUGUGAAGAAAACAAAAAAGGGAGAUUUAUGUCUGCUUCACCAUUUUGCCCAAGACUUGACCUGUCAUACACUGAAGGAAGCUCUUGUUUGACCUUCUGAAAAAAAUCUUGAAGUAUCUAUGAGAACAGCUAUUAUAUGAAGCAGAGAUUAUAAUAGAUAUGGAGUUUAAGUUGCAGAAAAAGAAGACUGAAUUAUUAAAUGGGACAUCAGAAAAUAAAAGUCUUUCCUUUUAUC
rnacentral:lncRNA from 1 species